rnacentral:lncRNA from 1 species
GGUAGUUAAUAAAUGCUUUUAUUUCCUGAAGAAGAGAUGAGGAAAUGCACCUGGUUCCCUUCAUUAGAGAAAUGGAGGACAAUAACUGAGGAAUGUUGCAUCUGCUUUCAGACUCAGUUGACAUAUUGCUCAGUUUUGCAGAAAGGAAUCCAGGGAAACCAAGACGUGAUCUUUUUGCCCAGCCUUAUCUUUUCACAGGAAAGGUUACUUAUGACGCAGAGGGGGAAAUAAUUUGCUCAAGGUUGCUCAGAUAGCAAGUAGCGGACUGGAGAGGAAGAACCCGGGUCCCCAGACACCAGAUCCUGCCUCCUUUCUGACUCUGCCUCUCCCUCCACAGGCAGCAUCCCUGAGGGAACAUACGGGUUUGCCAGGGGGAGUUGGCAGUGCCUGGCCUUAACGCUGGGAGUUGCAGAGUUAAUCUCUCCUCCAACCCCCCCCCCCCUCCUGCUCCCCAGAUCGCAGAGAGGCCACCCAGGCAACCGGAUGCAGAAGAGCGUUUCCUGUUUCCAGCUCGUUAUCCUGAUAGCAGCAUCAGCCAGCGGGUCUUGCUUGGGGCUGUCUUUGCAGGUACUCCAUCCCCCGCCUGGGGCUCAGAAUCAGAGGACUCUCUGUCUUCUGCCUCCUCACACACACCUCCCUCCUGCGAUAUCUCUCUUUCCAAACCAGACUUCAUCACUCAAAUGGAGAAAGGGGAAGAAACAUGGAAUUGGGAAGUUGCCACAAAAACAAAAGAUCCCAAGGGACUCCCCAGCUGGAACAGAACUUGGGAGACCAGCUGAAGACUUGGGAAAAAUGAGAAGGGUUAUCAGCUGAAAUGUCUCAUGUAUGAGUACUCUCAAGGAAUGUGCACAGAAAGGUCCCAAGAGGUGAAGAAAGUUCCUGGAUUAUUGGAAGAGCCCAUGUGAGUUAGUGCACUUCAGAAAAGCAGCAGAGAAAAGUCUCAGGGAGUAGGUAGAAAAAAAUCUCUCCCCAAGAUAAGGGAUCUGGGAAACCUUGUUGUAAUCAACCCUAAAACUAGGGCCAAGUUUUGAGAAAGUCAAUAUCUUUAGUGAAUGUGAGAAAAGCUUCAGUCUGAGCAUUCCAGUCUUUAAAAGUACCCAAAAAUCCAUUCAAGGGAGAAUGCUUCAAGUGUGUGGAUUGAGGGAAAGUGUUCACUUACAACUAUUUGUACAUUAGAAUCCAUACCAAGAGAGGGGGGAAAAAACACCCUGAAACCUAUAAAAGCCCUGAAAGUGGGAAAACCUUUAGUGAGAACUCCAACAUAAAAAAAAAAAACCCAAGGAGGAGAGAAAUCCUACUUUCUUUCUAUCUUGUACUGAGAGUAGAGAUAGGUUCAAUGUGAAAUCAUCCCUCAUUAUCCACCAGAGAAUCCACACAGGAGAGAUACCCUGUAAAUGCCCCCAGUGUGGGAAAAGCUUUACUCACCCUACUACACCCAUUAAACAUCAAAGGACCCACACUGGAGAAAAACCACAUACAAUCAGUUCUGCUACAACUCUUGUUUUGAAAAUGGGAAUCUGCUCCAAUAUGAUUGCUAUAUUAGGCAACAAUAUGAGCAUAGUUCUAAUUUUGGUUUACUUAUGCACAAUUUCAUCCACAAGAAACAGCUAGAAUGAAGAAAACUGUACCCAACUGAACCGAGCCUCGAGGAAUACACAAAACAUUCACACUUUAAAUACCUACCAGCUACUUCACUUCACCAUCUGUCAUCUUAGAAGGUUGUUUUAUUAUUUUUUGUGUGCGAACUUUUCUAUAUUAAAAAAAAAAAAAC